UACGUAGGGCGCAAGCGUUAUCCGGAAUUAUUGGGCGUAAAGAGCUCGUAGGCGGUUUGUCGCGUCUAUCGUGAAAGUCCGAGGCUCAACCUCGGAUCUGCGGUGGGUACGGGCAGACUAGAGUGAUGUAGGGGAGACUGGAAUUCCUGGUGUAGCGGUGAAAUGCGUAGAUAUCAAGAGGAACACCUGCGGCGAAGGCGGGUUGCUGGGCCGACACUGACGCUGAGGCGCGAAAGCUAGGGGAGCGAACGGG
rnacentral:rRNA from 1 species